CAGUCGAGGGAGAAAGCCCGCAAGGGUGAGUACACCGGCGAACGGGUGCGUAACACGUGGAUAAUCUACCUCGGUGACCGGGAUAACUGGCCGAAAGGCUUGCUAAUACCGGAUAAGCCCACGCUGUCUUCGGACGGCGGGGGAAAAGGCGGCCUCUGCAAGCAAGCUGUCACACCGGGAUGAGUCCGCGGCCCAUCAGCUAGUUGGCGGGGUAAAAGCCCACCAAGGCGACGACGGGUAGCUGGUCUGAGAGGAUGAUCAGCCACACUGGAACUGAGACACGGUCCAGACUCCUACGGGAGGCAGCAGUGGGGAAUCUUGCGCAAUGGGCGAAAGCCUGACGCAGCAACGCCGCGUGUGUGAUGAAGGUCUUCGGAUCGUAAAGCACUGUCGCGAGGGAAGAGAAGCCGGGGAAUAACAAGACCCGGCUAGGACGGUACCUCGAGAGGAAGCACCGGCUAACUCUGUGCCAGCAGCCGCGGUAAUACAGAGGGUGCGAGCGUUGUUCGGAAUCAUUGGGCGUAAAGCGCUUGUAGGCGGCUUGUUAAGUCGCGUGUGAAAUCCCUUGGCUCAACCAAGGAAGUGCGCGCGAAACUGGCGAGCUGGAGUGCCGGAGAGGGUCGCGGAAUU
rnacentral:rRNA from 1 species